AAUGCAGGUUUGGAACUACUUGAGGGUGAGUAACUACUUGAGGGUUUUCAUUUUUGGGUGAACUAUUCCUUUAAGUAAUUUAUGUGAAUUGUAAAAUAUUUUAUCUGAGCAAGCAGGAUACUCUAUAUCUUUUAUAUCUAUCUAUAUCUAUAUUCUAUAUCUAUCUAUAUCUAUACAGCUAUGGAAUUCGGUAUGCUAUUUGUCCAUAAAGUUCAACCCCUAUUAAAGCUGCAAGCAGCACUGAAAGGGUCCUUGCACUCCAGCUCACCUUCACCAAGUUACUUUGGGAAACCAGUGAUGUAAAAUUCAUUUCUAUGAGCCAAACUUCCUGCCGCCAACUGGUGGCGCUCUGACUAUAAAUGAAUAUUGGCAUGUAGAUGUAUUCAGGCCAGCACUUUCAUCAAACUUGAAGUUCGGUGCAGAUUAAACAUUGCAUGUUUGAAUUGGUGUAAAGCAUGAAAUAUCCUGUCGUCAACAGGUGGUGCUAUGAUUAUAACUAAAUAUUGGCCUUUAGAUGUCUUUGUGACCGGACUCUUAUCAACUAUGUGUAGCUGGGUGCAGACUGGACGUUGCAUGUUUAAGUUUGUGUAUAGAAUUUGUGCCCAUCAUUUUCUGUUGCCAGCAGGUGGCGCUAUGAUUAUAACUGACUAUUGGCCUUUAGAUUUGUUCAUUUUGGGGCAGAUCAGCCAUUGUAUGUCUGAAUUGUAACAACUUCCUUUUUGAUGGCAAAAAAAAGUUUGGCAGGCCACCAGGACGAUUUUAUAAAAAUGCAAGAUAUUCGCAAUUUAACAUCACAUAUGGCUUUAGAUUACACUGACCAAAUUUGGGGUUGAUCUAUCUAAAUCACUAGGAGUUUUUUUAAAAAUGCCUGAAAAUGGCACAAAACUUAGAGAGCAUAUUCAAAAUAACAAACUUCCUAUUAAGUGUUGGAAUUCAAACCUGCAGACAUCUUUGUAGAUAUGUGUAUUACACGUGUGUACCAAAUUUCGUACAUGUAUGUAAAACACAGCUCGAGAGGCACUGCAUUGAAAUUUGGAGUUGGUGCUAUUUUGCCACAUCCACUUCUGAAACCCAUAUCAGAUAUAAAUUUUCACCACUUCUGGUUUCACUCAAAGCUUCACAAGUUUUCAAGAACGUUUAGUCUUUCAAAAAUGUGAUUUAUUUUGGAGAAGAAGAAUUGUACUCAGUUAAAAGUCACGCAGUGUAACUUUACGGCCAUUAAUUGGAGUAGAGAUCAAAAAAAGUUUUUGUGCAGAGUCAUGGUGCUGCAAGGAAAGCAGUACUUGUUCUCGUAUCUCAGGGAACUGAGGUUACGUAUGUAACUGAUUACUUUCCCUUUAAUACUUCACUCGUACUGAAUCACUAGACAUUGUGGGGAACUAAUACAAUCCCGCUGUGCCAUAAAGAGGAACGGUUGACAUGAACUGGCCUUGAGCAGCAGAGACUCAGAGGGACUAAUUAUACAUAGGGUGGGCCCUGCAGGAGGCAAAAGGAAUGAAAUCACCAAGGGUUUUUUUUGUACUGUCUCAGCACUAUUAAUAAGGCAAAGAAAAUACCUGAAAGAAUAGGUAAUGGCUAAAAAAUUAGACCACCUUAGACAGGCGUGUUCAAAUACAAAAGGGUCAACUAACCUUUAAGAAACCCUCUGCUUUUUGACUGAGAGCCCUUUGGUUCACUACCAAAGCAUAUGAAAAGUUGUUUCAACUGCCUGAAUGGGGCAUAACGCUAAAUGUAAAUUCUCAAUGCCCUGACUGGGCAGAGAAGGUUAAACUCCUGGUUUUCCUCAGGAGGAAAGGCAGAUAGAUUAAUAACUGGGAUACUAAACAGAGUGUAGAGCACUUUAUAGACAUACUUAUGUCUUGGUUUUGAGAUUGAAGUUGUUAGGCCCAAACUCAAGACAGGCAGGUCCCACAUAGGGACUUUGGGAGACCGGGGUAGAAAGAGCCUUUUGGAUACCCUCAGGAAAUGGAAAAGUUGUUCUGGCCCACAGACUGUCCGGUUAUAGGAGCAUGGGAAACUGCUAUAGCUGUCACAUAGACUUUGAGUGUGGAAGAGGAGAGGGCCUUAUCCAACAGAUCUUGUAUGUAAGACAAUAUCACUUAUAUGUCACAUGAAACUGGGUCUUUGUCACAGGUUGCACAGCAGGCAGGAAAGACCUACCACUUAAGGGCACAGAAGCAUAUCGUAGAUGGGGCUCUAUCCUGUGAGAUAGCAUUCAGGAUACUGCCAGGCAGAUCUACUGAUUCACAUCAAGAGCUCAGAGGUGCAGAGCUCACAGCUCAAGCUGGGGGUGCCUAUUGGAUCUGCUUGGCUAAAAGAAAAGUUCCUGCCUGUGGGGAAUGGGUUACGGGAGCUGCUAUCAACAGCUGAGACAGCUCUGAAACUCACAGUUGGAUGUGUCAGUCGAGACAAUCUUCCUUCUGUGAAUCAAACCCAUAGUCACACCCUGCUUGAACCACUAUGGGUUUUUCCAGGGGGCCAGAACUGUUAGGCAGGCCUGGCUCACCCUGACAAAAAAUAAUCCAUGAUGCACACAUGGGGUGGAGUUUGUGGUUUCAACCAGUACUGAAGGGGUCUCAUGUGCAGGCACAAUUGAAGUACCAGUGAGGCAGAGGCCAUGAGGUCCAGCAAUUACUGUAUGGUCAGUCCACAGUCAAAAACUGCUCCCAGGAAUGCAGUUAGUUGGCUGGGAGACAGAGUGCUCUUGGCAAAAUUGAUCCUAAGUCCCAGGCACUCUAAGUAGCUGAGGAGGAGGAACCUAUGGGCUAUUAGCUUGGCCUCUGACUGGACUAAGUCACCAAAAUAAUUCAGGAUACAGAAUACAGAUAUAGAUCUGCCGCAUAUUUUACUUCGUAAAAGUGUGAGAAGCCGGGGACACCCCAAAGGGCAGGGCCAUGUAUUGACAUGUCACUCCAUUGAAUCUCAAGAAUCGUCUGUGAUGGGGGCUACCUGGAUGUGAAAGUAAGCAACUUUUAGUUACAGAGAAAGGAACCAGUCCUUCGGGCCUGUUUAUUAGAGGAUCUGUUUUAGGGUAGCCUGAACAGCGACCCAGUUGCAUAAUUUUGCUAGCGACAAAAUACAAGUAUCGAAAAGGGAACUGAGUAAUUCCAACGGGAUCCUUGCCCAAAUAAAAUAAUGCAUGGCCUCUUAAAAAGUCCAAAAAAACUGGCCCCCAAGGGAUAAUUACAACGAUUUUCACACUAAAUCAGGAAACUAGAAAUUGCCAAUAAUGGAUAGAUAGAUAGACAGACAGACAGACAUAAAUUUAUGCUGUCUCAGCACUGCCACAUCAGCAAAUGUUAAGUGCUUUAUGUGCUUCAGUAGUUGCAUCAAGUAAUUUCACUGAUGCUAUUGCCAUGCUGUAAAUGUGUGUACUUCAGAUUUUAUUAGUGUUCCCAGUCACUUUUUCCAUUACCUACAGGCACACCAGUGACAUUACAUGCAUUUAGUUCAAAUGCGUGAGCAGUCUGCCAGGAAUUAAGGACAUAAGACUAAAAUUAGAGAUGGAAAUAUGACAAGGUUGUUUGCUCAGGAGAGUGAUUAAGUGAGACAGCCAGAGCAGACAGGUUAGAACUGCUCAGACUGGCUAAAAUAAUGUUAUAUACUCUAACAAGUCAUGUUUAUUUAAUCUAUCUGCCAUGUAUUUAUAUUCGUCAAAUAAAUGAAUGCAUGAUUAUAACUGAUGCAUUUUCACAAGCCUAUCGAUGAGCCUAUUCAUGAAAAUAUUAGGGUCUCUGUAGGGCUUCCAGUGGAUAGAUUCGGAAAAAUCAUUAUUACUCUCUUCUUCAAAUGACGUCAGAACAAGAGCAUACGAGAUGAGCCCAGUGUAUUUAAAAGGGCUUAGGCAAAAUAAAUGGCCUCACAAUAAACAGAAGCGACACAACAGUUUCCAGCGCUUCAACACGACUGAAGAAUGUUUUCCAUUUCUUUUGUUCUAAUCGCUCUUCUGCUGCCAGUCGGAGGUGCACCUGUCAAACCAGCACAUGUAUUUUUCAGUAGAGUGAUGGAAACUUUAGCAGACAAACAGAUGGCAACAUCUGAAGGCUACAUUCCUGAAGAGCUAUCAAAUUUAAAGUAUACCUUACAGGACAAUAACAUGCUUUUCAGAGGAACGCCCACGAAAAGGCACGAAGAGAAUGUAGCUGAAUCCCCCUCCGACGUUUUCUCAGUGAAACAGACUAAACGCAAAGAAGGCUGCAAGUUUCUCUACUGGAAAUCAUGGACCGCUUGCUAAAACUUGAAAUGUUUCAAAUGCAAAACUGCUAUUGAGUGUGUCGUAUCCUUCUUCCUUUUUUGUAAAAGUAGUAAAUGUGUCAUUGUGCGCAUGAAUGUACUUUUUCAAUAUUAAUAUUGACUCAC